GAUGAACGCUGGCGGCGUGCCUAAUACAUGCAGGUCGAGCGAACAGACGAGGAGCUUGCUCCUCUGACGUUAGCGGCGGACGGGUGAGUAACACGUGGAUAACCUACCUAUAAGACUGGGAUAACUUCGGGAAACCGGAGCUAAUACCGGAUAAUAUAUUGAACCGCAUGGUUCAAUAGUGAAAGACGGUUUUGCUGUCACUUAUAGAUGGAUCCGCGCCGCAUUAGCUAGUUGGUAAGGUAACGGCUUACCAAGGCGACGAUGCGUAGCCGACCUGAGAGGGUGAUCGGCCACACUGGAACUGAGACACGGUCCAGACUCCUACGGGAGGCAGCAGUAGGGAAUCUUCCGCAAUGGGCGAAAGCCUGACGGAGCAACGCCGUGUGAGUGAUGAAGGUCUUCGGAUCGUAAAACUCUGUUAUUAGGGAAGAACAAAUGUGUAAGUAACUAUGCACGUCUUGACGGUACCUAAUCAGAAAGCCACGGCUAACUACGUG
rnacentral:rRNA from 1 species